rnacentral:rRNA from 1 species
AUGCUCCGGCCCGAUCCGCCCCAUCGCACGGCCUCUGCUCCUCCCCGCUCGGCCAGAUCCGCCCAUACCGCAUCUUCAUGCCCAGCCAUGGCGGCGUGCGUUGAUCCAUGGCUGCGACGGGUGGGGUUUCCAUGGCCACGCCGACCGGUGCGAUGGCAUCGCACCACUAGUGUCGAGGAAACCGUGACACCCUUGGUGGCUGCGCUGCCGGUGGACCAUAGUGACCGCCGGAGAACACUGAGGGCGAGUUCUCGAGCUCGAGCACGAGGUCAUCCCGGGGUCAUAGAGAGCCUCAAGGUGGAGGAGAUAGCUGAAGACGGGGGUGCUGUUGAUGGUAUAAAAGGCGUUAAUAAAAUAGAGUUUUCUGAAGAACAGAGGAGAAAAUAUAGAAAGGUAAGAGAAGAAGGUGAUGCAAAUGCUAUAAAACUUUUGCGACAUUAUAUGAAAAAAAAGACACGAGGCUGCUGUAAGGUAACUGGUCAUGUUACUAUUUGGUGUGAGACCAGUCUUUUUCUUGCUCAGCUUUAUUUGUUAUGUUUCUAUUGGGUGCUCUAA